UACGAAGGGGGCUAGCGUUGCUCGGAAUCACUGGGCGUAAAGGGCGCGUAGGCGGCCGAUCAAGUCGGGGGUGAAAUCCCAGGGCUCAACCCUGGAAUUGCCUUCGAUACUGGUCGGCUCGAGAGUGGAAGAGGUAAGUGGAACUCCGAGUGUAGAGGUGAAAUUCGUAGAUAUUCGGAAGAACACCAGUGGCGAAGGCGGCUUACUGGUCCAUUUCUGACGCUGAGGCGCGAAAGCGUGGGGAGCAAACAGGAUUAGAUACCCUGGUAGUCCACGCCGUAAACGAUGGAUGCUAGCCGUUGGACAGCUUGCUGUUCAGUGGCGCAGCUAACGCUUUAAGCAUCCCGCCUGGGGAGUACGGUCGCAAGAUUAAA
rnacentral:rRNA from 1 species